rnacentral:miRNA from 1 species
AGAAGGGGAAGGAUUUGCUGA